UCCUCACCCGCCGCGGGAAGACCAGCUCUUCGCCCCGCCACACCCCGGGGAGCCUCUUGGGUCGCAGUGGACAAGGGAUGGCAAUAAUAUCCAAACUCCACUGUGCACAGGUUCACCUACCAACUCUAUUAGGAUGUAAUCCAGGAUCUACCACUGGAGUUACACCUCUUGAUUUCAGCGGGUGAGACUUAUGCGUGUUGUCCCAACUGGAGAGGAGGUGGCAAUGCAGAAAAGAAUCCUUCCAGCUUGAUGCCAGGAGGCCAACAUAUCUUUAAACAUCGCAUAAAGUGGGACCCAGUUAACUGCAUCACUUAACUUAAUGGGAAAAAGAUUUCUCAUAUGUGGCCAGCUGGAUGCCUAUGGGAAACCUGAAAGCAGACCUGAGUGCAAAAACACCCUUCCCACUUGGGAUUUCCAGCAGCUGGGAUACUGCCUGGAGGAGGAAGACAAGGUGAGCAAGAAUCUAGCUGUCAGUCUGGAUCCUGAAUCUACACCCAAUACUCGAACUCUUCCACUGCAGAGGCUGUGGCUAACAGGAGUGGCAAAAGAGAAUCUGGAGCCUGGGCAUGUGCCAUGACAAAGGAGAAUGAGGGAAAUGGAUUUGGGGUAGGGAAGCAGAUAUCCCAGGAUCUCCUAAAGAGGGGAUUGGCAAUAAACGCUUCCUGAGGAUGGGAAGGGCAGCCAGGAUGGGGCCCUGGACCAGAUUUUAUCUGCUGGGAAUUUAUUGGUAGACUCAGUUGUUUACUUUGUGUGCCCGGAUUUUUAGUUUGUAAAGGGACAGCAAGGAUCCUAUUACUUUACAAACCAAACGUAGCUUGCCCCUCCCAUCUUUGGAUUUAUUAAUACUUUUCAUGACUCCUCCUCUGAUGGAGGUCAUCAAUAUCCCCAUUAUACAAAUGAGAUGGCAGAAACAAGGCCAAGAGACAAUGACUUGCUGAAACUUGCCCAAUGAAUUGUAAAACGAGGAAAGAAUCGAACCCAUCGCUUCUGCAGCCUAGUCCAUCAUUCCACCCGUUAGUGCUCUGAAAUCUGUCUGAUUGUUGACUGCUUGCUAGUGGGGUCUGCCUUCCUGCUGCACCCCUCAAAGCCAGGCCAACAGAGCCGUGGGGUUUUGCCCCUCUUACAGAGCAAGCCUAUGCGUGUUUACUCAGAAGUAAGUCCCACUGAGUUCAAGGAAACAUACACAGGAUUCCAGGCAGCGAUAGCUACUUUUGAUAUCAUAUUCUUCUUAUGAGAGAGAAAAAGAUGGGGGAGGGAGAGAGGUAGUUGCAUUGUCCUCUGCAAAAGGAUGACAUAUUUCACCAAUGGGCCAUAGAGAUAAUCCUAGGGGCAGUGUCUUCAGAAACUGCCCUGCUCUCUUUGAUGGAUUUAGCUGUCAAUAGUCAGAGAGCAAUUUUCUAGAAGCCACCUAUUCCAAGACACUUCCCGUACAAUAUCAGGAUCAACCCCAACCCAUCUCCCCCCCGCCACUCUUUCCUCUGUUCUUUCUCUCCUCCCACCCCAACCUUCUGACCCAUCUCCAGGUCCAGGCCCCAUUAAGCACAAAGGCCCCUCUCCCUAGCCAGGGCUGACUAGUGUGUGAAUUCCCUGCCCAGACGACCAGCUGAGGGAGUGGGGAGGGGGCUGUAAUCCAUGACGAAUGGCUGCCCCUAGGUACUGAAAAGC